rnacentral:rRNA from 1 species
CAGGCCUAACACAUGCAAGUCGAGCGGAAACGAGUUAUCUGAACCUUCGGGGAACGAUAACGGCGUCGAGCGGCGGACGGGUGAGUAAUGCCUAGGAAAUUGCCUUGAUGUGGGGGAUAACCAUUGGAAACGAUGGCUAAUACCGCAUAAUGCCUACGGGCCAAAGAGGGGGACCUUCGGGCCUCUCGCGUCAAGAUAUGCCUAGGUGGGAUUAGCUAGUUGGUGAGGUAAUGGCUCACCAAGGCGACGAUCCCUAGCUGGUCUGAGAGGAUGAUCAGCCACACUGGAACUGAGACACGGUCCAGACUCCUACGGGAGGCAGCAGUGGGGAAUAUUGCACAAUGGGCGAAAGCCUGAUGCAGCCAUGCCGCGUGUAUGAAGAAGGCCUUCGGGUUGUAAAGUACUUUCAGUUGUGAGGAAGGGGGUGUCGUUAAUAGCGGCAUCUCUUGACGUUAGCAACAGAAGAAGCACCGGCUAACUCCGUGCCAGCAGCCGCGGUAAUACGGAGGGUGCGAGCGUUAAUCGGA